UAAUCGAUGUUUGCUGGUCCCAGGAAAACAAAACGCUGUGAUGGAGCUUGAAAGUGAUAGUAUCGACUGAUUUUGUCAAGUGGGGGAGUCACCUGCCGCCCUCCCCCUACCUCACCCACUGUGACAUUAAAAGUUCCCCCCAUUUUCAGCUUGACCACUGAUCAGCUGGUUUGCCAUCAGAUGCUCAUUCAAAUUUGAUCCGGUGGAAAAAUAAAAAAUAAAAAGCAGCAGACGUUACUAACAGUAAUUAAUCGAUUUGUGCUGGAUCGUGUAUUAAUCUUGUACAAACGGUAAGCUUGCAUAGAAGGCACGGCACGGCUGGGAUCGCGCCAUGGCAUGCAUGAUACACAAAGUUUUUAGUGUUUGAGAGCGCUAAACCGCGGCGCUUUGUUGUGGCGUCCCUCUGCGCCCCUGUGUGCUGUGUGCGUAAAGACAGCCUCUCUGUCUCAGACCCUCCAUGCUAUUAUUGUUUCUACCUUUCUUUGCUAGAUGGCGCUCUGCGUUGUGGGACCCUCUGACACAAGAACCGCCUCAUACCCUCUCUCUCUCUCUCUCCUCAGCUCUGCUCUCAGCCCUCAGUCCACCGCGCAGCACAGAGCAGCUUUUCCAGGGCCAUUUUUUAACCAGGAAUUUCAGCAGCUGCAAACGACUCGAAACCCCACCGCUGCGAAUAAUGGGGGAGUUUUAUAAUUGCAUUAUCCUAUGUCGACUGACAUUUUUUGUUUGUUUUGUUAAGCUGUGGAAUCACAUCGUUUAAAACCAGCGAUCAGCAAUGCAUUUAAUUUUAAUGUAGGCUGAUAGUAACACAGACUAUCGCUCAAUAUUUGUGCUUUAGAUAAUUAAUUGUUUGUUUAAGCAAUGUAACGUUGCAGAACAUAUACACUAAUUCAAAUUAAAAUUAUGUUGAAAGGAAUGCAAGGAUUAUCCAUUAACAAAUAAAUGUCUUAUUAAUUUAAGUAAAGAUAGGCACACUUAAUCUGACGAUGCAACAGAGAAUUAAGUUCGACUACAAAAUCUAUACAGCAGAAAUGUUUAGCAACAUUUUGGCUUUGCAGAAAAUCUUUUGAUUGAAGUAUACUGACACACAAUGUAUCUGAGAAAGGUUGCUUUAGUGCAAAAUAAAGCGUAUUAUUUACGUUAAAAAUAAUGAAAAUUAACGAAAAUAAACUUUCAUAUAAUUUUGCAAUUUUUAAAAAAUUUUUAGCAAUUCAACGAUCAGCUGUCCGACUUUAUAAUCUGUUUUAGAUUGGUUGCUACCAAGGGAGAAUACAGUCCAUUGUAUUGUUUGCUGAGUGGCCCACUCUGCUCUAAGAUAUACUGCUGCAGUUACACUUUCACUAAAUAGCGGCUUGUCGGUGUCUGACGUUGAUGAAUGUGUUGGAGACUUGGAGAGCCUUUUACAGCUGUCUUAAAAAGCGCCGUGGCCCCAGACCAGCCACAAACAGAUCAGGUGCAUGGGGCACUAAUACGGCAGUCAAUGACAAAGAAACACGCACUUUACACGCAUUUGGAAAGAGCCACUUCUGCAAUGAAAAGUAAACUCUGCAAACGUUUUAUUUUUAAAUCUGUUCGGUUGACUUAAAUCUUUAUGAUGUAAACUGAAACAGUAUCAGUUGAAGAUGCGGUCGUUUGAGGAAACCAAAGUGCAAAAUAAAAUGUUUUAUUUUUUUAGUUGUGUAAUGAUCACCAACUGAAAAUCAUGUAGGCUAAUCGUGUAGGCCUAUCUUGAAAUCUUUUCAUUUGCCAAUAGAUCACUGGACAGAUCCAGAAAAUAGAUUUCCUCUUAUGUGGCUGAAGAUAAACACAUGUGGGCUGCGAAUAGUGGUUUUGGCUUUUUUCCUCACUGUGGCUUCAUCCAUUCCUCAUGUGAAGACAUCUAAAAUACAAAUGUAAAUUCCAGUAUUAUGAUAUAGAGCCAAUUAAAACAUUAUACGGGAACUGAAAGUUGAUUAUGGUUCGAGUAUGGCAGCUCAUUUCGACAAAUAUUUAUUGUGGAUAACAAGAGACUGAUACCUUUUAUGUUUCAUCAGAUGAAGUGCUCAGGAACUUUUAUGCCUGUUACAGCGGAUAGAUGAGGAGAGCGCGCGCACACACACACACACACACACACACACACACACACACACACACACACACACACACACAACACACUUAUGGACACAAAAGUUGUGGGAUUUGAACCUUUACUUUACAGAACAAUCUCUCUGACCACAGGCAAGGGUUCAUUGUUGACUGAGCUGUAUUAUCCAUUCGUUCUAGAGAACCCCUCCAACACACACGCACACAAACCGUUGGAUCCUGGGUGGUGUGGCACAGCAGGUUCGCUUGUAGCCUAGUGUAUACGGGGCUUCUCCACCUGCAGCCCCCAGAAGACACAAACCCAGUCAGGCUUCACCUCAUUCCCCCCAAAUCCACGUCUUCUCUUACUGCUAUUUACAUGAGUUGGCCUACACGUUAUUAGCAAGAGGGGGAGAGAGGGAAGCAGCAUUUCAAUUAUAUUGUGAACAAUGGGCAUGGGCCCGUCAUACAUUUUGAGUGUUUGAGUAAGGCUCUCUUGGUAUUUGUUUUCCUCGACUUAACAAGCCAUCAUCUCACACAUGCAUAUAGAAUUGAAAUUGCACAGAGAUCCCGCAGGCAAAGGGCGGGUUGCGGGUUCAAUUAAGGUGGAAUAAUGCAUAGGGACAAAGCGUAUGAUGACCUCGAUUGAAAUUAAUCAGAAAACGCAUUCACCAAAAACACACAGGAGCCUCUUUGUUUUGUCUUAAUGUUGCCUCUUUGUAUCUGCACUGAGGCAUAUCUGCCUCUCUGAAAUCGCAAGCUACUUUGAUUUUGGAAAUAAUUCCAAUGCCUGAAUAUAAAGCUAAGAAUUUAAUACCACCCAACCUAUGUCUAGACUAAUUCACUCAUUUUUUGACAUUUCUUUCUUUCCCUCCUUAAUCGAAUUUGCCACAUUUAAGCUGGUGUGUGGAUUUUGAAGCAUAAGCAGCCAUUUGGGCUAUCCCUGGAAUGACAGAGAAUACGAAGGUUUGUCAUACUUUCUUAAGUAGAAAACAAGAUAUUUCACCACCACAGUGGGAUUUUAACGAAUUAAAAUAUCUCACUGCUUGCCUGUGAUAAAACGGUAUAGGACUGAGGCGCUCGCUUGUUAAGUAACUUGCUGUCAGUAUAGUUAGCAGUGCUCUGAUAUGGACGGUGGCUGCAGAGCCUCAUCUCUUGGGGUUUUAAUUAACAAGCUGUCUCAAAGCUGUAGAGCUCCAUCAAACAGCCUCUCUCUCCCUCUCUCUCUUUCUCCACCAGUAAAUCCUCCUCCCGUCAGUGCCUUGGGCUCUCUCUCAAACUUUAGACAUUCUGGUUCCCAAAUCAACUUGUUACCACAGUAUGUGCACCAGCUGAUGGGUCCUAUAGUAAACUUGGUGCUGGGCUCCCACCGUGGCCCAGACGGGGGUAAUUUGAUAGCAAGGCAAGGUCAAGACAGUGCGCUGUCCAUGGUGCUGCGGCGGGGCAGGCUGGAUGUUAUCAUCAAAUUAAACAGGACAAGUUUCAAAUCGAUGCCACCCCCGGAUGUCUGGAGACCGGCAGCACCAGGAGUUAAAGUCCUAACAAGUCCCCCCUGACAGAAGCGAUCAAUGCCGCAGCGCUCUCUCAUUCACCCUGAACUGGCGGUGAACUCCUGCGGAACGCCGCCAGCCUCUCCACCCUAUCCCAUCGCAGUUCAGGGUCACCAGGGGGGCGUCUCUGUGCCAAUAUGCAGAUGAGCCUGUGCCCCUCCAAUGACUCUGGUGUGAAGCUCCACCCCUCUAUAUGGUGGAGAGCGCCCCCAACCAACCACCCCCCACCCGACGACACUCUCACACAGAGACAUAAACCCACUCACACUGGCUUAAAUAGGCCUUUAACAGCUUACGUCCACUCUUCCUUUAAUAGCCAAAGUGUGUCGAACCUAAUGGAUGUUGUCAAAGCUGAGAUGUGACCACUGAUUUAGAGGAGGAACCCCAAUGACCAGGCUUCACUAGCCACUAAAGACUGAGAGAGAUAGUAGAGGGAGACAGAGACAGAGACACAGAGAGAGAGAGAAUUACCUCAGCCAUGACACAAAUCAAAGUAAUAUCUUUAAAAGAUGUGGGGAUCGAUGAGGUGUCAUCUGGAUGUAUCUUGUGUGUAAAGUGAACCCAUAAACAGCCAAUGAGUACUACUUUAUCCUCAAUUUAAGUCCCUUACUGAAAAAGUUUUUCAACUGAUAAGCAGAUUUUUUUAUGAGCAAUUGAUUUCAUGUAUUGUUAAAACAAGAUAUCACAGAUGAAGAGCACUUCCAUUUUAAUCAGUUUAAUUAUAAAUUGUAUCUUUAACUGAUCAAACUUUGAAAAUAAAGUACCCUGUGUAUUUGUGUGUGUACCUUUGUGCAUUAACUGUGAACAGAUUAAGCUGCCUGUACUAAUUUUAACAUGAUCAUUGUAAUUGCAUUAAUUUAAUAAAGUUUAUUGUAAAUGCAA